AAAGUGCGAUAACUCAGGUGAAUUGCAACUGGCGCGAAUCCUUGAACUUUUGAACGCAUACUGUGCCCCGGUGUAACAGCCGGGGCGUGUCUGCUUGAGCGUCAUAUACAAAACAUCACUGUCUCUCUCUGUCUUAGGAUGGGGUCUGUACAUGUGGACAUGGGUUUUGCAGUUAAUUCUGCAUCACCUUAAAUACAUUUGGUGGGGUUCGCUGAUGAACACACUGUGUCUCUGUCGUUGUUAAGGGGAAUUUUUCUUCAUGAUACGAUGGGUAUAGUGCAAGUAGUCUGCAUUUAUGGAUCCUGUUAAGCCAAAAAUUCUGUUGCCUCAAUUUCUUGACCUCAAGUCAGGCACGAUUACCCGCUGAAUUUAAGC
rnacentral:misc_RNA from 1 species